GCUCUGGCAACAGACAAGAUACGACGAUCAACAAACCUUGGUUUGAAAGUUCCAGAUAUCUGCAGCAACAUGAGCAUUCAACCACAAAUAAACGUUAUCUUGUACAGCAAUGCCAACCUCACUGGCGACUGUUUACCAGUAUCUAAAGACAUAGCGGAUUUGAACAUCUUCAAGAACAGGGCUCAGUCAGCCAUUGUAGUCCAUGGAAGUUGGCAGCUAGCAAGCGCUUCGGGAC